rnacentral:rRNA from 1 species
UACGAAGGGGGGCUAGCGUUACUCGGAUUGACUGGGCGUAAAGGGUGCGUAGGCGGGUCUUUUAAGUCAGGGGUGAAAUCCUGGAGCUCAACUCCAGAACUGCCUUUGAUACUGAGGAUCUUGAGUUCGGGAGAGGUGAGUGGAACUGCGAGUGUAGAGGUGAAAUUCGUAGAUAUUCGCAAGAACACCAGUGGCGAAGGCGGCUCACUGGCCCGAUACUGACGCUGAGGAGCGAAAGCAUGGGGAGCGAACAGG